GAGGAUAUAGCUCAGUGGUAGAGUGUGUGCUUAGCAUGCACAAGGUCCUGGGUUCUAUCCCCAGCACCUCCA
rnacentral:tRNA from 1 species